GUGCAGUGCGGCUGCCUAUACAUGCAGUCGAGCGGACAGAUGGGAGCUUGCUCCCUGAUGUUAGCGGCGGACGGGUGAGUAACACGUGGGUAACCUGCCUGUAAGACUGGGAUAACUCCGGGAAACCGGGGCUAAUACCGGAUGGUUGUUUGAACCGCAUGGUUCAAACAUAAAAGGUGGCUUCGGCUACCACUUACAGAUGGACCCGCGGCGCAUUAGCUAGUUGGUGAGGUAACGGCUCACCAAGGCAACGAUGCGUAGCCGACCUGAGAGGGUGAWYSGMCACACUAUGGUGACUGAUGACACCKGCCCACGAGYUCYUACGGGAGGCMGCAGUAGGGAAUCUCUCCGCAAUGGACGAAWGUCWGACGGAGACAACCGCCGCGCUGAGUGAUGAAKGYUWUCSGAUCGUAAAGCKCURUUGUUAGGGAAGAACMASUACCGUUCGAAUAGGGCGGUACCKUGACGGUACCUAACCAGAAAGGCSACKGCUAACUACGUGCCAGCAGCCGCGGUAAUACGUAGGUGGCAAGCGUUGUCMGGAAUUAUUGGGCGUAAAGGGGCUCGCAGGCGGUUUCUUAAGUMUGAUGUGAAAGCCCCCGGCUCAACCGGGGAGGGUCAUUGGAAACUGGGGAACUUGAGUGCAGAAGAGGAGAGUGGAAWUUCCACGUGUAGCGGUGAAAUGCGUAGAGAUGUGGAGGAACACCAGUGGCGARGGCGACUCUCUGGUCUGUAACUGACGCUGAGGAGCGAAAGCGUGGGGGAGGCGAACAGGAUUAGAUACCCUGGUAGUCCACGCCGUAAACGAUGAGUGCUAAGUGUUAGRGUGGUUUCCGCYCCUUAGUGCUGCAGCUAACGCAUUAWGCACUCCGCCUGGGGGAGUACGGUCGCAAGACUGAAACUCAAAGGAAKUAGACGGGGGGCCCGCACACGAGCRGUGGAGCAUGUGGUUURAUUACGWAUGCAACGCGARGAACMUUACCAGGUCKUGGACAUSCGUCUGACAAUCMUARAGAAUAGGACGUCCACCGUUCSGGGGCAGAGAUGACARGUGRUGCAUGGUUGUUCGUCWGGCUCGUGUCGUGAGAUGUUGRGUUGAAGUGCCCKCAMCRAGCGCAASCCKUGAWCCUUUAUGUUGCYAGCAGUUCAKUUGGKCACUCURASGUKAACUGUSCGGUGCRCAAACCGKAGGAAGKUGGRKAUGACKUCAWAUCAUCWUUGACCCGCUUAUGACCUGGGCUACACACGUGCUACAAUGGACAGAACAAAGGGCAGCGAAACCGCGAGGUUAAGCCAAUCCCACAAAUCUGUUCUCAGUUCGGAUCGCAGUCUGCAACUCGACUGCGUGAAGCUGGAAUCGCUAGUAAUCGCGGAUCAGCAUGCCGCGGUGAAUACGUUCCCGGGCCUUGUACACACCGCCCGUCACACCACGAGAGUUUGUAACACCCGAAGUCGGUGAGGUAACCUUUAGGAGCCAGCCGCCGAAGUGACAGAGUGUU
rnacentral:rRNA from 1 species